rnacentral:rRNA from 1 species
AUUGAACGCUGGCGGCAUGCUUUACACAUGCAAGUCGAACGGUAACAGGCCGCAAGGUGCUGACGAGUGGCGAACGGGGGAGUAAUGCAUCGGAACGUGCCCAGUAGUGGGGGAUAACGCAUCGAAAGCUGCGCUAAUACCGCAUACGAUCUAUGGAUGAAAGCGGGGGCCCGUAAGGCCUCGCGCGGUUGGAGCGGCCGAUGUCAGAUUAGGUAGUUGGUGGGGUAAAGGCUCACCAAGCCAACGAGCUGUAGCUGGUCUGAGAGGACGACCAGCCACACUGGGACUGAGACACGGCCCAGACUCCUACGGGAGGCAGCAGUGGGGAAUUUUGGACAAUGGGCGCAAGCCUGAUCCAGCAAUGCCGCGUGCAGGAAGAAGGCCUUCGGGUUGUAAACUGCUUUUGUACGGAACGAAAAGGCUCUGGAUAAUACCUGGGGCUCAUGACGGUACCGUAAGAAUAAGCACCGGCUAACUACGUGCCAGCCGCCGCGGUAACAC